GUAGCAGUGGUUCCGUGGCAGGAUUCUUGCCUUCCAUGCCGAAGACUCAGGUUCAAUUCCUGGCUGAUGCA
rnacentral:tRNA from 1 species